CAGGUUAUCUCGUCGGGCUCAUAACCCGGAGACCGGUGGUUCAAAUCCACCAUCCGCUACCA
rnacentral:tRNA from 1 species